rnacentral:rRNA from 1 species
UACGAAGGGGGCUAGCGUUGUUCGGAAUCACUGGGCGUAAAGGGCGCGUAGGCGGCCAUAUAAGUCGGGGGUGAAAGCCUGUGGCUCAACCACAGAAUUGCCUUCGAUACUGUAUGGCUCGAGACCGGAAGAGGUAAGUGGAACUGCGAGUGUAGAGGUGAAAUUCGUAGAUAUUCGCAAGAACACCAGUGGCGAAGGCGGCUUACUGGUCCGGUUCUGACGCUGAGGCGCGAAAGCGUGGGGAGCGAACAGG